AUAAACAGUGAUAUUCCAUGCCCACAACGAGCUCACCAUCUGGAGGAUGAGCUCAAUGUCAGGAGGGGCCUAAACGUUUCUUAAAACACUGAUGGAGCAUGUGACAUAAUAUCUGGUGUUCAGGCACUACAAAAAAAAUGUAAUAAAAGAUGGUGUUUUCUGACAAGAACUUCCCAGUCGAAGAAAGAGAUAGUAAACAUAGACAUUAGUAAAGGUAAAAAUUAAAGACAGCACAAGCUUUAUAGUUUCUCUUUUUGAGACUUCUAUGGAUUAGCACUAGAUGUUUCUUCUGUCUUACGUAUAGAUAUACCCCAUCACCAUUGAAUAAGAUGUGCUGCUCAGCAGUUUCUGUCAGAGCAAUGUUUUUGAAUGUUUCCAUUAUUUCUUCCAUCCUUCCUCCAACUUAGUCAAGUAGGUAGAGAUUCACCCCUCCCAGGCCUGCCCUCAGCAGCUGAAUCCUCUUUCCCAGGGCAAAAAGUACUUUCGUCCAUUCACGUUUACCUUUGCCAUAGACAUUGUCCAUGGGAAGUGCAUUUUUCCAGCCCAACUUGCCUCUUUUAUAAAGCCAUUCAAUCCUUAUCAUCACUUUUCUGGAGUGGAAUAUGAAAGCUGUUGAGGCCUGGAGAGAUGGCAUGUCCUGAGUGUGUUGCAGUAAUAAUUUAAGCACCUACAAGAGCAGAGAGCGAUAGGAAAGAGCAGAGGAAAAGAUAUUGUCCCAUGUGAACAACGGAGCUCGAAGAAACGUGUUGAAUUUGAAGCAUUCUAUCCCCCGGAUCCAGAAUCUUAGUGGAGGAGGUUCGUGUCCCCUUCAGGCGGAACGCUGUUCCAUUCCAUGAUGCAUUCAACCCAUUUAGACUUGGAAGAAAAAAGCCUCUUCUCCCGUUCAACGAUGGAUCAAUGGAUGAAUUUUCUACUACAAAACCAAGAAGAAACAUCAUUUGGAUGUAUGAUAUUAUCAACAUAUCUCGAUGUGCAAAGAAGGAACAAGAGAGGGCUAAAUGCUGCCCAUGUUUUGGGAAACACAAGACCUGGAUGUAGGAGACUUAAAUUGAAAGCAAGGUAAAGAUUGUCGUGACGGGUGAAAACUGGACUCCAGAUGAAACGGAAUGUCUACACAACUAUUCAGUAGUUGUGGUGUCCAAACUUUUCUAUGUGCGAGUCCCAAACACCCUCUUGAUGCUGCAUAAAAGGUCCACAUUUCCAUCAGUGUUUUUAUGAGAUACUCAAUAUCAAGUUAUAAAACAGGAUCACUAGCGAAGAAGUCCAGCAGAAAGUCUUUCUCAGCAUUGGAGCAAUAUUCACCUUAAAACUGUUCUCUUGUGGUGAUCUGAAAUUUGGGAAUCCUGAAAGCAGAAUGAUCAGAGGAGUCAUUUACUGAUCUAGUUAAACACAACUUCAUGUAAUGUUGCAUUUCAGCUGAAACUGAGAAUCAACUGCAGCAGUCAGGACAGGACAGCUAAAUGAAAUUAAGAAAGGAGCAACUCCUUUUCUCCAUAAACUCUCAGAAAGACCAAGUUCUGAAAAGAAUAAAGCUCCAAGUGCUGGAAACAACAAACUACAGCAAACUAACUGCCAUGUGGUUAUGCUGUGGUUUCUGAAAUAGACUUUGUGA